GACGAACGCUGGCGGCGUGCUUAACACAUGCAAGUCGAGCGGUAAGGCCCUUUCGGGGGUACACGAGCGGCGAACGGGUGAGUAACACGUGGGUGACCUGCCCUCAGCUCUGGGAUAAGCCUGGGAAACUGGGUCUAAUACCGGAUAUGACUCCAUGACGCAUGUUGUGGGGUGGAAAGCCUUGUGCGGCUGAGGAUGGGCCCGCGGCCUAUCAGCUUGUUGGUGGGGUGAGGCCUACCAAGGCGACGACGGGUAGCCGGCCUGAGAGGGCGACCGGCCACACUGGGACUGAGACACGGCCCAGACUCCUACGGGAGGCAGCAGUGGGGAAUCUUGCGCAAUGGGCGAAAGCCUGACGCAGCGACGCCGCGUGAGGGAUGACGGCCUGGUGUAAC
rnacentral:rRNA from 1 species